AACGAACGCUGGCGGCAGGCUUAACACAUGCAAGUCGAGCGCCCCGCAAGGGGAGCGGCAGACGGGUGAGUAACGCGUGGGAACGUGCCCUUUGGUUCGGAACAGCUCCGGGAAACUGGAGCUAAUACCGGAUAAGCCCUUACGGGGAAAGAUUUAUCGCCAAAGGAUCGGCCCGCGUCUGAUUAGCUAGUUGGUGGGGUAAUGGCCCACCAAGGCGACGAUCAGUAGCUGGUCUGAGAGGAUGAUCAGCCACACUGGGACUGAGACACGGCCCAGACUCCUACGGGAGGCAGCAGUGGGGAAUAUUGGACAAUGGGCGAAAGCCUGAUCCAGCCAUGCCGCGUGAGUGAUGAAGGCCUUAGGGUUGUAAAGCUCUUUUGUCCGGGAAGAUAAUGACUGUACCGGAAGAAUAAGCCCCGGCUAACUUCGUGCCAGCAGCCGCCGUAAAAC
rnacentral:rRNA from 1 species